CACCCGGUGCGGAGCAGGGCACGUUAAAGAAUGAAACGCAGUAAGGAGCUGGUUUUUGUGAAGUUCAUAAAGUCUGCUGCGAGCUCGGAGUAUUUCUAUAAAGCUCUUGAGUCUAUGAAAGAAUUUCAGUCAGAAGAACAUCUCCAGAUCCUUGACGAAGGGACAGCGCUCAAUAUAAGAGAAAAUGAUAAAUCGCUUUACAUUUGUGAUCCUUUCACAGGUGUCGUUUUCAAUCAUCUCAAACAGCUUGGCUGUAGGAUUGUUGGACCACAGGUAGUCCUGUACUGUAUACAGGCCCAGAGAUGUGUCCCAAGAGCUGAGUAUCCCGUGUACAACAUGACCAUGGUCGAUGUAACAGUAUCCUGUACCAGCCUUGAAAAGGAUGUUAGGGAAGAAGUUCAUAAAUAUGUACAGCUGAUGGGUGGACGUGUGUCCAGAGACCUCAGUGUGGCAGUAACUCACCUGAUAGCUGGAGAAGUUGGCAGCAAGAAAUACGUAGUAGCUGCUUCCCUGAAAAAACCUGUUUUGCUUCCGGCUUGGGUUAAGACUCUGUGGGAUAAGUCUCAGCAAAGCAUAAUGACAUACACUGAUGUUAACAUGGAUGAUUAUGCUUGUCCUGUGUUCCUUGGCUGUACAAUUUGUGUAACUGGCUUAAACACUUCAGACAGGAAAGAAGUCCAGCGCCUCACUGUUGAACAUGGUGGACAAUAUACGGGGCAGCUCAAGAUGAAUGAAUGUACUCAUCUCAUAGUUCAAGAGCCAAAAGGUCAGAAGUAUGAAUGUGCUAGAAAAUGGAAUGUGCAUUGUGUGUCUAUCAAGUGGUUUUCUGACAGCAUCGAGAAAGGCUUCUGUCAGGAUGAGACAAUGUAUAAAAUAGAAGCUGGAUCAAAACUGACACCCAGUACAUCAACACCUACGAGUGAUGUUGGGAAGCCUGAUAAUCAUGCCCUUCCAGAUGUCAGCCACAUUUCCAACAUCAAUCUGAGUAGUGUUAAUGAAACCGAAUUCAGCUCUGCUCUGAGCAGCAGGCAGGAUCCUCUUCCUGAUGAGCUGGAAAACUUGGAUAUAAGUUCCUUUCAAGCCCCCGAAGAUCUGUUAGAUGGGUGUCGAAUAUAUCUCUGUGGCUUCAGCGGCAGGAAGUUGGACAAGAUGAGGCGGCUUAUUAAUUGUGGUGGUGGUGUUCGAUUUAAUCAACUUAAUGAAGAUGUUACCCAUGUCAUUUUGGGGGAAAAUGAUGAGGAGCUGAAACACUUCUUGGACAAGAUGUCUCACAGGCCUCACGUAGUCACAGCAAAAUGGUUGCUGGACUCAUUCAGUAAAAAUAAUCUACAGCCAGUGGAGCAAUAUAUCCCUGUAAACUAUCAGCUGUUAGAGAAUCCAAUUUUGGAGCAACCUGGAAUGAAAUCAGUUCUUCCCAAAAAUAACAGUCUCUUGAAGAAAGAAGCUGUGAAUGUUAGAAAGCAUCAGAAAGCUGCUGAAGAUGAUGUCCUCUCUCAAUAUGUAACUAAUGAUUCUACAUUAGAUGAAGCUGGAAAACUAACAUCCAGAACCUUCAGUGAUGUUACUCACUUGACUGUUCAAGGAGAGAAUGAAUCUUCCAUCCAUAGUGGUUUUCUGGGAGAGUCGUCUGCACUAGCUGAAGAAGGACUGUUUGUCAGAAAGAGCUUUCUUCUUCUGGGUUUUGGUGAAGAGGAUGAGUCUUGCAUUGCAGAUAUUAUAAAGGAGAAUGCUGGGAAUGUCCUGCCACUGCAAAGCAGAACCCUGGCAGACUAUGCAGUGGUACCUUUACUGGGGUGCACAGUGCAGAUGACUGUUGGUGAUGUUGUCACAAACACAUGGCUGUUAACAUGUGUGGAACAGCAGUUCCUUUUAGAUCCUCAGUCCAAUCCACUUUUCACACCAGUCCCGGUAAUGGAAGGAGUUACCCCUCUGGAAGAUUGUGUUCUUUCUUUUAGCCAGUUCACUGGUGCAGAGAGAGACUCUCUGGUUUGUCUGGCAGGACUGCUAGGAGCCAGAGUCCAAGAAUUCUUUGUGCGGAAAGCCAAUGCAAAAAAGGGCAUGUUUGCCAGUACCCACCUUGUGGUGAGAGAAGCGGAUGGUUCUAAAUAUGAAGCUGCAAAGAAGUGGAAUUUACCAGCAGUCACUGUAGCUUGGCUUUUGCACUCUGCAAGGACAGGAAAGAGAGCAGAUGAAAGCAAGUUCUUGGUGGAAAAUGCAGAGGCUGAAGAUAAGGAGAGUUCCAUUACUCAGCUUAGCAAGACACCAACAACUGUUAAAUCUCCUGAUGUGAAACAAUAUAAUUACCUCCUUGAAGUUGGAAGAAAAAAACCUGUGACUCCUCUUGAUAUCAGCAGGUUCCAGAGUAAAGCUUUCCAGGCUGCCAUCUCUCGUCACAUGGGGAAUACAACCCCUCUUGCCCAAGGGGGAGUGCUACAGAAAGAGCCGUCUUUACAUCUUGAUACACCAUCAAAAUUUCUUUCCAGGGACAAGUUGUUCAAGCCUUCUUUUGAUGUAAAGGAUGCUCUGGCAGCUUUGGAAAGUCCAGUAGGUCCUGAUCAAAAAACCAGGAAGCUGAGCACACCCCUCUCUGAAGUCAUCAGCAGGAACUUGAAGUCGGCACUGGCAAACAGCACGAGGCAUGCAGCAGCUCUGACUGCCAGCCCACAUCUGACUGCUGCACAGCCAGAAGAGGUAGAAGAGCCCAAGCCUCUAGCAGAUGUUGUUAUUUAUGUUAGUAAAAAACUGGGUAAGAAACAAAGUGAACUGAAUGCAGUAGCAGCUUCUCUGGGGGCAGACUACAGAUGGUGUUUUGAUGAAUCAGUAACACACUUCAUCUACAAGGGAGGACAAAAUGACAGUAAUAAGGAGUACAAAUCAGUUAAAGAACGGGGUAUACAUAUUGUUUCAGAACACUGGCUUUUGGAGUGUGCCCAAGAAUGUAAACGGCUUCCUGAAUCUCUCUUUCCUCACACAUACAAUCCCAAAAUGAGCCUGGACAUCAGUGCAGUGCAAGAUGACAGACUCUCUUCCUCCAGUAAACUUCCAUCGACUGGAAAACCAUCAGAGGAAACCGAGAUUAUUCCAGUGGAUGAAGAUGAUGUGGAAGAUGAUGCAACCACUGACCAAAUAAAGGAAAUGGUCACUGCAGGAGAAGAACAAAUUGGAGCAAGUGAAUCCAGAGGAGUUUUAACCCAAGCACUAGAAAUGAGGGAGAACUUCCAAAGGCAGCUGCAGGAGAUCAUGUCUGCCACAUCACUGGUGAAACCACCAGGGCAAAGAGGAUCCCUUUCAAGGAACAGUAUUGAUGGUUCUCCAGCCACUCCUGAUAGCACACGGUCUGCGCGGAAUGGCCGCAGUAGGGUCUUGGAAGCUCUCAGGCAGUCCCGCCAGGCUGUUGCAGAUAUAAACACGGAGCCAUCGCAGAGUGAGCAGAUCAUCUGGGACGAUCCUACUGCCAGGGAGGAGAGGGCAAGACUUGUCAGCAACUUUCAGUGGCCUAAUAGUCCUUCCCAGUACACUGAGCAAGGUCAGGGUAAUGCCAAUAAGAACACGGAUGAAACUGUCUUCAAAGGAUCUUUAGCUGAUGCAGAGAUUGCUGCUAUAGCUCUUCCUGAGGCUGUAGAUGGAGAUGGGAUUGAAGGUCUAAAGAAUCCUGUAUGUGGAGAUCCUGAAACACCAAUCAAAGAUCACUCGAUCCCCACUCUGCAGACCCCCAGCAUUGCUGUCCCACUGGCUAACCCUCCUGUUGCACCUCAGCCCAAAGAAAAGGCUGUUACAGAAGAAGAAAAGGCUGAUGAAGAACCAGAAAAAGUCCGUAAAUUUCAGCUGUCUUCUUUUAAUCCUGAAGAAAGAUUUGAUUACUGCCAUCUGAUUGAGGAAUUAGGUGGAGUAUUGCUUGAGAAACAGUGCUUUGAUCCAAGUUGCACACACACCGUUGUGGGACAUCCUCUUCGAAACGAAAAGUUCUUGGCUUCGAUGGCAGCUGGGAAGUGGGUGCUUCAUCGUUCCUACCUGGAGGCAUGUAGAGGAGCUGGCUGCUUUGUUCAGGCAAAAGAUUAUGAGUGGGGAAGUAAUUCCAUACUUAAUGCUUUGCCUGCAAUUAGCAUAAACCAGAAGAAACUAGCACUUGCUGCCAUGAGGUGGCGGAAAAAAAUCCAUAAAGGGAGACAAGAAACUGGUAUUGUUGAGGGAGCUUUCAGUGGCUGGAAAGUGAUCCUGAAUGUUGAUCAAACCAAGGAAGCAGGAUUCAGACGCCUUCUUCAGUCAGGAGGAGCAAAAGUGUUCUCUGGUCACUCUGUGUCUCUCUUCAAAGAAACAACUCACCUCUUCGCUGACUUCAGUAAGCUGAAGCCAGGGGACAGCAGGGUCAAUAUAGCAGAGGCAGCAGCCCAAGGAGUGAACUGCCUGAAACCAGAGUACAUCGCUGACUACCUCAUCCAGGUGUGCAUGCUGGAAUCCUGGCCACAAGUGCCUGUGCUCAGCACUUCUGUAUGUGGCCUCAGACUUUAACCUGACUUGUUCUAGAGCUGGCAGUGCUGCAGGAUAGGCAGCUUGUGAAACCUACUCAAAAUGAUCCACCUCCCCCAGUGGAGUCUUACUGCCUACCAGAAGCUGUAUCUUCCCUUCAGAACAACACAGAAUUUGGAAGUGGGUUGUCCCAGAAGAGAAAAGCAGUGGGAGAGAUGAGCCGAG